AAAGAAUGUCAUAGGAUAUGUGGAAGCUUUUCAUUUGAAAAUAGGAAAAUAGAUUGAUGACUCAAAAAUGAGAGUUUCAAAUUUUCCAUUUGCAACUCCUUAGAUUAAUAAUGGGAGACUGUGUGCUGCUUUCUAGAUACUCUUUGCUAAUGUGGACAAGUUCCUAUGCCUGAGAGAACUCUCUGUGGAUCUGGAUGCUAGGCAAAGUGUUCUUUUCAGCCCUUCCUGAAGAAUUCCUCAAUCUCCACCAUAUGAAGAAAUUGGUUUGAAUUUCAGCUGAGUGUGGUCCUUCUAAACUGGUCAUUGUUUUGCCAAAUUUUAUUUCCCUGAAGAUACUAAAUCUUGAAUACCAACACUUUCCAGAUAAAGAAACACCUGAAACAUUUGGUAUGUUUACAAAAUCGUGCCUUUUACUUUUAAUUCUUCCCCUAAAAAUCCUUCUAUUUCGUGUUAACUACAAGUCACAAUAGGUAUUAGCUGCCCUUACUCAUUUGGAGGAAGGGGCCGUGCUGCUCAGCUUUGACCCUCCAAAUGCCUGAUCUCACUUGAUCUCACUGAAAGCAGCGCUCUCAGAGCGACUUACUUCUUAGAAUACAUAUUUGGUCAUUACAGCAUGAGGUGAUUUCAUUGUCAGGGACCCACUCUGAACAUACUGAAUCCCUGCUACUUCAAAGGUUUUUGGGAUAUAGGUAAAAAAAAUUUUUUUUAACGAUUUUAUUUAUUUAACAGCACAAGCAGGGGGAGCAGCAGGGAGAGGGAGAAGCAGGCUCCUGCUGAGCAGAGAGCCCGACAUGGAGCCUGAUUCCAGGACCCUGAGAUCAUGACCUGAGCCGAAGGGAGAUGCUUAACCGACUGAGUCACUCAGGCGCCCCUAGGUAAAACUUAUCUUCUAAGGUCAAGAGAACUUAGUACGUUAAGAACUCAGAAUUAGCAACAUGGUAACUCGAAAUUGCCUAAAUACUUCAGUUUUUUUUAUGAUUACAAAAGGAAGGUGUACUAUGGAAGAAUUCUAAUAGGUGUUAAUAAAAAAUAAAAGGCAUAUUAAAAGAUUUGAGAG
rnacentral:lncRNA from 1 species